UUUCCGUAGGUGAACCUGCGGAAGGAUCAUUAUUGUAUAACCGAGGUGCGAGGGCUGUCGCUGACCCGAAAGGUCGUGCACGCCCGAGUGCCCUCACACACAUCCAUCUCACCCCUAUGUGCACCAGCGCGUGGGUCCCCCUUUGGCUUGUUCGGAGGGGGGCUUACGUUUUCACACAAACUUUGUAUGUAGUGUAGAAUGUAUUUUUUGUUUUUGCGAUCACGCAAUCAAUACAACUUUCAACAACGGAUCUCUUGGCUCUC
rnacentral:misc_RNA from 1 species